rnacentral:lncRNA from 1 species
UCAAAACCACAUUUGUUCCUAUGAAAAUUCUCUACUACUUUAAACUGCCAAGAUAUCAAGAUAUUAUUUUCUAUUUUCCAUCCCUUUUUUGAAGCUGUGUCUUUGUAAUCCUAAUGUCUUAAAAAAUAACACACACAUGCACACACACACAUGUGCACACACACACACACAAAUAUACAUAGACUUUAUCCGACAGACAUCUGAAUUAUAUGAAACCUGUAGUCUAUAUAAUGAAGUCAAACUUCUUUUGAGCUCGCAUUUUUGUGAGCUACACAUAACUGACUUUAUUAAUCAUUAUUUCUAUGGAAAUUCUUAAUAAGAAAACAAUAGGUAGUACUUUUUUUUAAUUAUCAAAUUCCAAAUUGUUAACUUUGGGUUUAGUGAGAAAUAAUUUAGUUCUGCCAUCUUACUGACCUUGGAGUGGUGGAAUAUUUUGGAAGAGAAAUAUAUGUGUCCAUCAUACCUAAUAUAUAUGAUAAAUUGUGUAUAUAUGCAUACAUAUAUAAUGUGUAUGCUGAAGACAUUUCUACGUAGUUUUAAUAUGUUAAGCUUCUGACUUUAUUUGCAUAUUUUGAGUAGAAUAUAUUUGGGUAAAAUUUUGCAUUAAUUUUGUUUUAUUCCUGAAGAAAAAAAAAAACGUUGUAAAGGAUAUGUUGGAUGGUGCCUUAAAAUGGGAUAAUUUGCACUCUGAGUUCCUACAGGAAAAGAAAAAAUCUUCAUGGAGUUUCUAGGCAGUAACUCUGUUUUGGGAUGAUAUUGUUAAAACAUUUUAAUAGCUAAGAAAUAAAAAUAUUCAGAAGAUGUUAACAUUUUAGAAGGUUUUGCUAUGGUUUAUGUAUACUUUCUAAUGGGAACGUUAUAAAUUAUUUUGAAUAAUUUGUUCCAAAGCACUUUAUUAUAUUAAAAAAGAACCUCCAUAAAAAGAUGUGCUUCUUCUUCUAUUUCACUGAAAAUAACUUUUUCCUCUUUUGCACUUAAAUUCUCAGUUUUAUAUUGUCAUAAUGCUUUACUUUGUAUUACCUCUUGAAGUGCUUCAUGAUCAUAUAAUUGGGACUAAAUAGAAAGUAAAUGCACCUAAGCUGAAUGGUUGCUGCUCACCAACUACAUAAUUAUUGUCAGGGAGGUUAAAAUGCAGAAUGUCUGUCAACUUUAAAAGAAGUACACAUGGAGGGCAGUGGUGGGUAAGAUGGAAAUCACAGCUGGAGGUAAUGAUUACUCUGAGUGUCUUGCUACAGCAAACAUAGCAUUUAGAAAUUCAUGAACAUUCCUUUUAAAUGUUGAAAACUCUUUGCAAAACAAACCAUACAUUAACUAAAGCACUGAUGACUGCACUGCCUACACACUAAGCCACCCAUAAUUUUGGGAAAGGUUAUUUCUAUGCAACUUCAAAAGAAACAACUAUGAAUCUUUUAUUUCAGAAAUUGGCUUUGGUGACAAAUAAGUUUGAGAUACAUAAUACAUAUAGUUCUGCUUCUCUGACAUUUAAUAUGCAGUGCCAUGCCACAUAAUUUUCUUGUUUACUUUCUAAACUUAAGGGUAACAUAUAUCCAAGAUUAUAUAUCCUUUCCAAUAUAUAUCCAAUAUAUAAAAAUGUGGUCGUACAUUGCUAAAUAAGGCACAGUUCAUGAGUGAUACUUUCUGGAGUCUCUCAUUAAACAUUAAUCGCCCCAGACUCGCUGUUUUUAAAUCAAUUUGGGUUAGUAAGCCCCUGUUUAUGGGAGAAUAAUUAACCCUCUAGUUUAUUCAAUAAGGAAGUAGGUUUUCUCACAUCCAUUCCUGUCCACAUGCUCCUCUGCUGUUCUGGCUGCUACAUGAGUAGCUUUCACUGUACACUCCAUUGUCCCCCGUAACACAGGAAGGCAUCCUCCUGAGUUAGCAGUAACUGAAGGAUAAAGAUGAACAAACCACAAUUUCUUUCAUUCUCCCAACUCCUGGAAAUGUCUGCUACAGAGACAAACUGAAGUUUGUGUAUAUCGUGCUGAUUCAGAAGAGAAUGAAGGCAUUUGUCAAGAGAUAAUGUCAGACUAAUCAGACAUGUUCCAAUCGAUUAAUGCAUUUGGAGGAUUUCCAAAUAUUUGCUGAUCUAAGGACGGUGAGGUAUAUGAUGGGAAACAAAUCUGAGAAAAGAAGGAUGGUAGAUGCUUUCCCAUUGUGACCUGUGAUCAUUUUGGUAAGAACACUUUACUCAAUUAAGAGGCGAUCAAGUGAUUCCAGGCCUGCUGCUAAAUAAUUAUGAGAUGAUAUUUGGAAAUAUGUAUUUCUCCUUUACCUCCUGAAGCCACAGGUAUGUGCCUGAGGUUCUCAACAAAUGGCUGAUUAUCUCUCAGAAUAUUCAGUUGUCUGGUAGCUGGCACUAAUAGCUCAGAAUAAGCUAUAUUUAACUUCAGGAUCCAUCUGGACUCUUGGCCACUAGUGGUAGGUAAUACUAGUUGCCGAAUUCAGUUUCUCUGAGCCUGUGAAAACUGCCUGAUUUUAUUUCAAAUUCAUUUUGCAUCCUGUGGGAUGGAUUUGAGAUCAGGGCAAAAUAUUCAACCUUAUUUUUGUUAAUCUUGCCCCAAAUAUGAUCCAGAUUAACCUUUCUUAACACAAAUUUGCAUUUUUUACAAAUAUCAUUUUUAGUGAAAUUAAAAUCUAUGAUUAUUAACGUUAAUAUUGUGCAAGUAGCAUUUGUAAUAUAAAGUUUUCAAAAAAGGAAGAUAAUUUUAUUUACUGGAGACUUAUUUUGCCAUUUUCAACUUGGAAGCCCAGGACUCAAACAAAAGUAUUGUUUGAAAACUGUUGGGGUUGAUUAUUACUUAUGCCGGAAGUUUCAAAAAAAAUUUUUAGAAAAAAAGAAAGCUGUCUUGUUCUAAUAAUUUGAAAUUUUAACAGUUAAAUUAUUGCUAAAUUUGCAUAAGAUUUGCUCUGUAAGACAAUACUUUUUAUAAUUGUUAACAUGUAGUUGUUUUACUUAUUUGUGCAUACUAGGUUAAUAUAUACAUAGUCAUAUUAAUAUAUGUUUGUAUGUAUACAUACUUAAAUAUAAAUUUUAUUUUUUAAAUGCACGAUUUAAGAUUUUGUCAUAAAUUGUUAUAAAUUGUUUUGUGGAGUUUAUGCAUUUUGUAAAUUUGAUGGUGGCAGAUGGUGUACAUGUGAGUUAAUUGAAUAGAUCUUUCAUAGUCUGGCACUUUUUAUGCUUUUAGAAUUUGGAGAAGUUAGUCUUUACUGAUGAAUAGAGAGCUAUCGUACUUUAGAAACUAUUGAGCAAACAUAAAAUUUUAAGAACAACUUAUUUUUAUCCUAUGGAUUUUCCUAUUAUAUUUAAACUUGCUCUUUUAGUUUGUUUUUAGAGCUCUCCUCAAGAAACAUACUCUUUGUUUUUAACGCUCAAUCCUUUUUUAUUCUUUGUAGAAACUAGUGGUCUCCUAUUAAGUAAAUAGAUGUGGGUCUCAUUAGAGGGAUCCAUUCUAAAACAGAAGAGGACAACACUCAGGGAGGGCUGCAAUGAGACAGAGAAUCCUGAGAUUGUUCCUCAUGUGCAGAUCUUCACCUGGGGCUGCAGAAGACUGUACAGCUAUAGACAAAAUAAUGAUAAGGUACAGAUGUCGUGGAAAGCCAGAACAUAGGAGUGAAUCCAUCCUACAGUCUGAAGGCGGAAACAAAGCCAUAAAUGGGGUUGGGGGAGAAACCCUGUGGUAAGAAUCUGUAGAGAUGAGGAAAAAAUUGUAGGAUUUAAGGUAGGUUAGGAACUGGCAGUUCAGAGCAAUGCCAGGGUAUUAGAAACUCACUCUCGUGUCAUCUAAGUUUCCCAAUAUAGGAUUGAGUGGACCUCAUCAUAUUAGCCACAUUCAAGGAAUAUAUGUAUGUUAUAGAAGUCAAUGGUUACAUUAAAAUAUUAAGUUUGAACACAAGUUCUAAUUUAUUUUUAUCAUUAUUUCUUAAUAGCAAUUAAUUCUUUGGGGCUUCAAUUACUGACUGUAUUCCAAACGGUUACCAACAGUUCACUUCUUUUAUUGCAGAACUUACACCAUUUCCAAAUAACCAAUGUAAAUUUUUACCUCGGAUAUUAUUUUGUUACCCGCAAACAACAAAUGUGAAUUUAGAUUUAUCAUCUUCGUCGGGGACUGAAUUUCCCCUGUAAUAUUGUUUUUUGUUGAUUUGUUUGUUUUGUAGUGGCAUCCCCUGCCCCUAUGUACCUAUGUUUGAUUUAUCUUUUAUUUCCUUCUUUUAUACUUAAACCUUAAGGUGGAUUGGAAAGUUGAUAUCAGUGACACAAAGUUUAGUUGAUUGGGUACUUUACAUUUCUACUUGACUUUGUACAUUUCUGAUUUAUAUGAACAACAAGCAACUCAGACUAAGCCUCCUUCAUUGCCCUAAGAGGUCUACUAUAUUUCUAGUGAUUUUACCUAGGGGAUCUAUACAUGUACUAACAGUAGAAAUUAGAGGUGCAACACUACUGGCCAGAAUAUAGCAACAUCCUAAGUACAUUAAUAAUGUGUAAAGUGCCCAGCAUGUAAGGCACAAAUAAAAAUAGGGAAUGUCAUUUUAUUAAAUUAUCAGAAGUUAUGGGUCACAUUCAAACAGAAAUAUUCUAAGAAAUUCAAUUCUAAGAAAUUCAACUUACUUUUAAUGUCAAUGUUUCUGAAAUUGGUAAACAUCAUUGACGUCAAAAAGCCUUCUAUGCAUGAAAUAAAUUAUACUUGUCAUUUCUGAGCUUAUGGUAACAUGGUCAAGAAUUAAAGGUAUAUUCAUCUGACUUCUGUUUCAUCAGGCUGCUAUUUGAGAAGGGUUAUUUGCCUUAGUACCAUCAGCAGUGGUUGAAUUUUAUAUUUGGUUCUGCAUUUGUCAUUUAAAAUGUCCACAAAAAGAUAACCCCCUUAAGGAGCAUUAGAACUAGAAGUUACUGUGAACCUAGACGAUCGCCUGUUUUUUGCCAUCUAGCAUAAUGAAGGUCGUAGUAUUGCCAAAGUUUUUCGAAUUCACUGUAGUUUUUUCAAAACUAGAUAAAAACUCUGACCAAUUUUUGAGUCCUGGGGGACUAUCACUUCAGCCAUAAACACAAACAAGUUAACUAGAAUUUAACGAAAUAGUAAAUGGAGAAAAAAAUUCUAGAAUUACCUGAUUUGUUUCUAAAUUAUACUGUUGCUCCUAAAAAUGUUAAGAAAUUAGGGUCGUGAGCACUGUUGGUCACUAUGAUGAUAUGCUUACCCACUGAUGGUCAAAAUUUAUCAGAAGAAUUUUUAGAUUUGGACUAUGUCAUGGCUUAGAUGCUGAUACUGAUGAAUAAAGUGACAUGCAAUUUUAUGGAUAAAUGAAUGUUACUGUUAAGUAGUUUUUAAAUAUGUACAUUUUAAUAUAAUGUAUUUCCUCAAAAUGCUAUUCUCAAUUUGAUGAUAUGCCUUGAAAAUCAAUACUGUUUUAGGAAGAAGGAAAUGUGGUAAAUUAAUGGUGUCAUUAGAAGAACGGAGGUUGCCAUAGAACCUCAUUUGCUUUACUCUUAGGAUGUAACUUUUAAAUUUAUUCUUAUUUGAAUUUUCUUAUCUUCCAUACUGAACAGGAAGCUUAUUGAAUGAACAAACCAUGAGUACAAUUAGCAUAUACCUAAAUUGAUUUGCAGUGAAAAGGUGCUUCAUAAAUUCUUGUUUGCCUGAAGAAAUUAGGAGGCAAAGGAGCAUCAAAACAAAAGGGAAAAUAAGAAUUAAAGUGAGAUGCUGUAUCAGAGGCCAAGUAAAGAUGCUGGUCUGCCUAAUCUGACUUUCUGACACUGAGAGGCAAACCUCCAAAAUUUCCACCUAUCUACAUACAUUCAUUCACUCACUCACCCAGUCUCUAUACAUUAGGAAGUCAUUGCUUUAUGUUAACCCUUGGUUUUGAAAAAGAAUGCAAAAUUAAAUGAAGAAUAAACUCUGUUUAAAAGGGAGGGUUUGUUUGACAGGCAUAUGUAUAAACACUGGAAAUUAUGAGAGUACAGAGGGUUUCCAAUUUUCCACAUACAGAAAGAGUACUAAAAAAUGGUGGUGUGUUCAGAGUAAUGGCAAACUUAAUUUAAUUUCAUGCCUUCAAGCAAUAUUACUUUAUUUAUUGAGAAUUUUAACACAAAGCAAUCAUUUGUAUAUCACGGAUACCCAGAAAGAAUAAAUAUUGUGGUUCUAAUUCCUACACUUUGAUUUAUUAGUCUUUAGUUUAUUUGAAUGUCAUGUCACAGAGUACAGCUAAUAAAAGCAUGAACAUUUGUCUUUGAGCAAGUUUGAUCUGAGGUGAGUAACAUUAAACAAUAGCCUAUUGACAAGCAAUUAAACACCACUUCUUUUCUUAGGAGUGUUUUGAAUUACAUUUGUUCUAACUAGUGGCAGCAUCUUUUGUGUUUAGAAUUCCAAUAUAAUCUUAGAUGAGAAGAAUCUUUUAAUUAGAUUUUCAAUAGAAUCGGCCAAGACCCACUGCUCACCAUCUUGACUCUUUGUCUUCAUUGAUUUGGACCAAAACAAAACAAAGAUAAAUAGCAAAAUUCAUUAUCAAUGUUUAUUUCAACUGUCUAUUGUCAUUUCCUCAGGGUAUACAACACAGUUUUCCGCAGACAGAAUGCUGUGUUUCUUACUUUUAGCUUUAGAGCUGUAUAUUCAACAAUUCUGUGUCAUGGAAGAACCUAGCUGAGGCAAAAAAAAGAAAAAGGUAAUUUUCUUCUUCCAUUUACACGUAAAAUGUUUAUUUGAAGAAUAAGAAAUAAGCAAAGAGACAGGAGAAGGAAAUUGUGUUUCUUUCAGCAAGUAAAAAGAAAGGCAAAACCCAAAAUAAAUAAUAUGUAAUUAUUUUUUAUCUGACUAUUUUUUGGCAUUUGUUUCUGCAUUUCUAAAUAAUGGAACUAUAAUACAUUUUCACUAUUGGUCAAUUUUAGGUAUCAUUUACUUACUACCUAUAAUAAAAGUUAAAAUUGUAGCUAUGAAAGGACCCCUUUAAUGCUAAAAAUAUCACAGGAAAUAUUUGCAUUACCUAAGUCAAUACGUAAGUCAGCCAGGAAGAACAUUUACAAGACAAAGUUGAUCAUGAUACUCUCUUGUAAGUGAAGAUGCUAUUAUUUUAUAACCUAGAUGUGAGGAUCUGAAAGUUGUUAAAUAAAGGCUCCAUAUGAGCUCUUGUACUCUGUAAAAUGUCCUCUUAAGUUAGCUUUAGCUAAACUAACAUACUGCCAGGGAACAGUGUUAAUGUGUUUAAUUACCAAGCUCUUUCCAAGAAAGCCUUGUCACUUGUUCACUGGUCUUAUUGCCACUUUCUGUCUUCACUCUACUUCUACCUUUCCACAAACACAUCAGUACAGAUAUUUGCAUGUUUUGCACUUCUCCACAGUUUGUACUAGUUUCUAGAAGAAAUUUUUUACUGUCAAUUAAGGCAAUGCUUUAUUCACAUGUGGCUGCCACUAGAGAAAUGUCUUAAAUUAACAAAGAAAUAAAUCCAUUAAAAAAAAUGUUUCUCUGUUGCCUGUGCCUUUUGUGAAACCCCAAUUCACAUGCUCACUAACUUUUAAAAUCAUAUAAAAUUUUAAGAGCAAAAGAAUUUUAUUACAGUGUGAUGCAGGGUUAACCGUUUUGAAAUGAUACUUAUACUGCCUAAAUUAUACCUGGUCAUCCAAGUAGAAACUAACAAUGAUUGGGUAAUAAACAGAUGGAAACCAGGUUGCUAAGGAAAAGGAACAGGAAAUGAACUCCCUAAUUAGAUAACAAAGGUUUUGUCUACAUAAUGCCAAAAUAACUAAUUUAAUAUUUUGAAUCAGUUAGAUUGGGUUUUAUCAUGUAAGCAAAACAGAGAACUGAUUCCCUGAUGCUUUCGUUCUAUCUUCAGUUGUUUGUGGCAUUAUAGAGACAACACUUACGUAUGUUUCAAGCUACUUUACCUUUGUAUUUCAGGCCACAUUUCCUAGGGAGACUGUCUAAGGGAAAAUGAUUUUCUCUUUAGUUAUGAGACAAAGCCUAUACCUACAAAUUAGUUUGAUCACUUUGGUUGAGUUUACUAGUAAAGAGCCCUCCUAAAUAGUUUACAUGAUAUGUGUCUACACGUGUGUAUCUGAUUUGCCAAAAUUGAAAUAUUUUGUACAUGGCAAAUACGUUCUUUAAAUGUGUAAGCAAAUAGGUUUAUUUUAGUCAACAAUUGAUGACAGGAUAGAAAAAUAACCAGAAAUGUGGAUCCAGCUCUUAUCAUAGAAAAUUUGUACUCCUGUAGAUUCCAUGACAUCCUCACCUCCUGGUUUAUCUUUGACCUUUCUUUUGGAAUUUCUAAGGGUAGGCAUUGAAGUCUUCCAUUAGUCCUUGAAAACUCAGUCAUUACUCCUUUAAGUAUUGUCUCCCCUUUAUUAUCUCUCUCUCUCUCUCCUUCUGGGACUCCGAUUAGUUACAUACUAGGCCUCCCGACAUGUUCUCCCAGUCUCUUAGCCUCUUUCUCAUAUUUUCUAUCUCCUUAUCCCUCUAUGCUACAUUCUGAUUAAUUUCCUCAGAUGUAUCUUCGAGGUAAUUAGUUUUUUUUUCAUCCAUAUUGGUUGAAUCUACCAUUAAAUCUAUUUAUUCAGGAUUAUUUAUAAUUUUUAGUUUUUAUUUUUAUCUAAUUAAUAAGUGUGAAUUAAAAAAUCAAAUGAUUCUACAAACUAUGCAAUUCUUAGAACCUCUCUCCUUUUAUUUCUUCAUCCUGAGAAAUAAUUUUUUUGUUCUUUUAUCUGAUUAUUUUGGCGUUUGUCUCAGCAUUUCUAAAUAAUAGGACUAUAAUACAUUUUUAUUAUUGGUCAGUUUUAGGUAUCAUUUACUGACUUCCUAUAAUAACAGUUAAAAUUUAGUUAUUAAAGUAUCAUUUUAAUGUGGAAACUCAUAAACUUCAGUUGUGGGCACUAUUCUGAAAUUAUUUAAAUGAUUACUUCCUCUCAAUUUUCUCUGUUCUCUCUUUUUAGAACUUCCAUCUGGAAGUUAUAUCUCCAGCAUUCAUUUUCUAAUACUUUUUACACUUAUUAUUUUUUGCUUUACUUUCUGGAACAUUUUCUUGACUCUAUCUUUUAGCACUUCUCCAAAGUUUUUCAUUACUGCUAUUAUAUUUUUAAUUACUGAGAUCUUUUUAUUCCCUUAAGUAUUCCUUUUUAUAGCACUGUGUUCUUACUUUAUGGUUUGCCAUCUUUCCUUUUUUCUUUAAGGAUACUAAUUGUUGUAUUAAAGAGUUUUAUUUCCAUGUAUCCUCUCUACAGCCUGCAAAGCACUUGUUCUUAUACGUUUUCUUUCAUCUCUAUAUCUCUUGUUAGAGGUUUCCCCUAGAUGUGUGCUCAUUUGUUGUUGUCUGCACAUGAUUAAGAGUAGUGGAAUCCUCUGAGGCCUGUUGACAAUAAGCCUCAUUGUAGGAUGAUGUGGCUGGAGCUUUCAUUUGGCAAACUUCUGAUAUCAGAAUCUUAGGUCUUUCAUUUGAGGCUGUCAUAUUUCCACAUUUGUCUGGAGAGUAAAGACCUAAUUGACAGCAUUCUUAGAGCCAGUUAGGGUAAGAGAGGUAGAGUUUUUGGUGGGGGAGUUAGAAGGGGCUUCUUCACUUUGUUGCUUAUUUCCUUUGCUGUGCAGAAGCUUUUUAACUCAAUGCGAUCCCAUUUAUCCUUUUUUCUUUGGCUGCCUAUGCU